rnacentral:lncRNA from 1 species
AGAUGGUGAAAAUCAUUUUCCCUCUGCAAAUACCCAAUUUGUUCAACCCUUUAACGCUGUUAAGAUGAGCCUUGUCUCCUUGAAUCUGAUUUACAACCUUGUCUGAGUCAAAAGAGGCUACCAGAAUCUGUGGCCUAAUUAUGCCCAUGUUACCCCUAUUAAUGCUAAUAGAGCCCAGCCUUCACAUGUGAGAAAGUAGACUGUCAGUUCACAGAGCUCAGCCUUCCUGCACUGAUCCCCCUGGCCCCCCACCCCAGUAUCAAUUAACUUCACAGAGAAUUCCCAUUUGC